rnacentral:rRNA from 1 species
UACGGAGGGUGCGAGCGUUAAUCGGAAUUACUGGGCGUAAAGCGUGCGUAGGCGGAAGCUUAAGUCUGAUGUGAAAGCCCCGGGCUUAACCUGGGAAUGGCAUUGGAAACUGGGUUUCUAGAGUGUGGUAGAGGAUAGUGGAAUUUCCAGUGUAGCGGUGAAAUGCGUAGAUAUUGGAAAGAACACCGAUGGCGAAGGCAGCUGUCUGGGCCAACACUGACGCUGAGGUACGAAAGCGUGGGGAGCAAAC